ensembl:lncRNA
CAAAUACGCUUUAUAUACCAUAACUCAAUUAUGAAAGAGGCUCCAACUGUGCUGUUCCACUACAGAGUUCUUCAUUGGCCAUGGUCAGAGAAUGACAGCACCUGAUCCUCUGGGAUUUCUGUGACACUGUGAGGUCAGGGGACGACCCCAGUGGGGACUGUGAUACAUGUUUAUCUUCAGAAUGAUAUACAAUAAUCAGAGGAGGCUAGUGGGAGGGGCUGUAGGAGGACGGGCUCAUUGUAAUGGCUUAAAUGGAACAGUAUCCAACACAUAAAACUAAUGAAAGCCACAUGUUUGACCCCCUUCCAUUAAUUCCAUUCCAGCCAUUACAAUGAGCCCAUCUCGUGUAGCUCAGUUGGUAGAGCAUGCACUUUCAAUGCCAGGGUUGUGGGUAGGAUUCCCGCCGAGGACCAGUACAAAAACAGUAUGAAAAUAUAUGCACUCACUACUGUAAGUUGCUCUGGGUAAGAGUGUCUGCUAAAUGACUAAAAUGUAAACGUAAGCUCCUCU